UUGUCCGCUUCGAACAGGUUGCUUUGUCAUUGUCACCAAUUAGAUCACUUAUAGGUAUGAGGAUCUCCCCUGGGUUUGCUAUAUCUGUGGAAAAAUAGGACACCAAUUUCGCCACUGCUCUCAACCUUUGUUUGACCCUCAGGGUCGUUCGUUCGACCAAUUUUUUAGCCGGAGGGUUAUGAACCUCCCGGGACCUUGGCUGAGGGCUAAACUUACCUUACAACGGACUUGGCAGCGUCCUCGAUUCAUGGACUUCAUGGACAUCCCCCUGCCUGUCCCUCCAACCCCAGGAAAUCCUCCUGCUGAAGGAACCUCCUCACCUACUAACCAACCAUAGCCAGUUGUUUCUACUUCCUCCCCACAGACUCCUACCAACCGAUGGUUUCGGUAACCACAUCCCUACCAACUCUCCUAGUGUCUACAGCAACUUUUCACUUAGUAGAGACUACCCAAGACUUAGUGAUGAAUCGACUUUUCGAAGACACUCCUAGCCCUUCUUCCCGUGCUCGAGGUAAACGACCCAGACUAGAUCUAACCUCUCACCUGCUCUUGGAUCCUAAAUCCCUAGACUUGCCAACUUACGAUAGGCCAGAUCCUCCUUCUGAAGAGACCCAUAUUCUUAUGACCGUAUUCUUAUGAUCGAUCUGGUGGGACAUUCUAAGAACACUCAGCACUCAGAGGAUCAACGUUCGGAAGAGCAGGAGGAUUAGUAGUCCUCUGGAAAGCGGGGUUUCAAGUUUCUUUUUUGUCUUCUUUUGCCAGGUUCUAGAAUGCCUUUCGUAUUGGAGCUAUCAAAAGGUAUUUAUUGCAUCUGAUGCGAAACAAGUGGUGGAUGCUUUGCAACGACAAUCUGAAGUUCCUUAGACCUGCCUUUUGCUUUUGAAUAGGAUUAGGGAGCUUUUGAUUCAAAAGCCUUAUGUAAACUUUUGUUAUGUAUCUCGAACCUUUAAUGUGCCUGCCCAUAAAGUAUCCCAUCUAGCAAAACCUCAUGGUCUAGAACUUUUUGAUUUACCAUCUUACCCCAAUGGGAUACCUAGGGUAGACGACUUUGUAAAUAUUUCUC